GUGGUCGAUAUAAACGAUAUACGAUAGAAACGAUAUAAAUUUGGCCAACGAUAGAGAUUUUGACUAUACCGCUCUAUCGCGAUAGCGCAUGUUGAUGAUGUCAUCAAGCUGCGCCUGUUUCGGUCGAAAGCAUCAUGGCAGCGGCUACAACCAUUAUCAUCUGCAAAUUAUGCCGGGCGACAGUCAUAGCAAAGAGAUGAAGCACUUUUGAAAUAUGGGGAAAGCCAAAAACUGCGCUUCCUCCACUUCCUGUAAGGAGUUUGGGACCCAGAUUACUCCGCGAAGCUCCUCACUACGGCAGCCGUAAUCCUCUGACAAUCCAUCAAGCAUUGCGGCUUACCAAAGUUGUACUAAAACAUUUUUAACAGAUUUCUGCACGCCCAAAUCGGUUCGAGGUGCCAAGCUACCCUUCAGUUUCAUCCUCCAUCCCUAACGAUAACUGUAGAGUUGAUGGAGGAUGAAGACAGCAGAGAGAGCAAAAGAAACAGAAAUCAAAAAACCAAAACGUGGCAGAGAAGGAAAUUCCUUCUACGUCUCAGCACAGCGUCCCGGAGGCUUCUGUUGCUGCUACACCACCUAACCAUGAAAAUGGUAACAAGAAGAGGAAGAAAAGAAAAUGGAGACACUUCUUCUGCUGUUUCUCGGAAACUGACAGCGAUACAGAGGCAGAGCCCACCACUGUAAAGCCACAAAAAAGUCUCGCUGGUCUAUUUUCAAAUUCUGGAAGAGAAAAAGGCAGGUUGCUCCUGAAACAACAGUGGAACCUGAUAAAAAGAGUGACAAGUUAAAGAACAUGCAGCAUGACUGUACACCUGCCGAGUCAGCACCGUACAGUUCAGAGGACUCAGUACAGGUCAUUUGGCCCCAAGCAGGACAACCAGAAUG